rnacentral:rRNA from 1 species
CAAUUUAAACAACGAAGAGUUUGAUCCUGGCUCAGGAUGAACGCUAGCGACAGGCUUAACACAUGCAAGUCGAGGGGCAGCGGGGGUAGCAAUACCCGCCGGCGACCGGCGCACGGGUGAGUAACGCGUAUGCAACUUACCUAUCAGAGGGGGAUAACCCGGCGAAAGUCGGACUAAUACCGCAUGAAGCAGGGGCCCCGCAUGGGGAUAUUUGCUAAAGAUUCAUCGCUGAUAGAUAGGCAUGCGUUCCAUUAGGCAGUUGGCGGGGUAACGGCCCACCAAACCGACGAUGGAUAGGGGUUCUGAGAGGAAGGUCCCCCACAUUGGUACUGAGACACGGACCAAACUCCUACGGGAGGCAGCAGUGAGGAAUAUUGGUCAAUGGGCGUAAGCCUGAACCAGCCAAGUCGCGUGAGGGAUGAAGGUUCUAUGGAUCGUAAACCUCUUUUAUAAGGGAAUAAAGUGCGGGACGUGUCCCGUUUUGUAUGUACCUUAUGAAUAAGGAUCGGCUAACUCCGUGCCAGCAGCCGCGGUAAUACGGAGGAUCCGAGCGUUAUCCGGAUUUAUUGGGUUUAAAGGGUGCGUAGGCGGCCUUUUAAGUCAGCGGUGAAAGUCUGUGGCUCAACCAUAGAAUUGCCGUUGAAACUGGGAGGCUUGAGUAUGUUUGAGGCAGGCGGAAUGCGUGGUGUAGCGGUGAAAUGCUUAGAUAUCACGCAGAACCCCGAUUGCGAAGGCAGCCUGCCAAGCCAUGACUGACGCUGAUGCACGAAAGCGUGGGGAUCAAACAGGAUUAGAUACCCUGGUAGUCCACGCAGUAAACGAUGAUCACUAGCUGUUUGCGAUACACUGUAAGCGGCACAGCGAAAGCGUUAAGUGAUCCACCUGGGGAGUACGCCGGCAACGGUGAAACUCAAAGGAAUUGACGGGGGCCCGCACAAGCGGAGGAACAUGUGGUUUAAUUCGAUGAUACGCGAGGAACCUUACCCGGGUUUGAACGCAUUUCGACCGCUCUGGAAACAGAGCCUCUAGCAAUAGCGAUUUGCGAGGUGCUGCAUGGUUGUCGUCAGCUCGUGCCGUGAGGUGUCGGCUUAAGUGCCAUAACGAGCGCAACCCUUGCCACUAGUUACUAACAGGUAAAGCUGAGGACUCUGGUGGGACUGCCAGCGUAAGCUGCGAGGAAGGCGGGGAUGACGUCAAAUCAGCACGGCCCUUACAUCCGGGGCGACACACGUGUUACAAUGGCGUGGACAAAGGGAAGCCACCUGGCGACAGGGAGCGAAUCCCCAAACCACGUCUCAGUUCGGAUCGGAGUCUGCAACCCGACUCCGUGAAGCUGGAUUCGCUAGUAAUCGCGCAUCAGCCAUGGCGCGGUGAAUACGUUCCCGGGCCUUGUACACACCGCCCGUCAAGCCAUGGGAGCCGGGGGUACCUGAAGUCCGUAACCGCGAGGAUCGGCCUAGGGUAAAACUGGUGACUGGGGCUAAGUCGUAACAAGGUAGCCGUACCGGAAGGUGCGGCUGGAACACCUCCUUUCU